rnacentral:rRNA from 1 species
UGGGGAAUAUUGCACAAUGGGGGAAACCCUGAUGCAGCAACGCCGCGUGAAGGAAGACGGUUUUCGGAUUGUAAACUUCUGUUCUUAGUGAAGAAUAAUGACGGUAGCUAAGGAGCAAGCCACGGCUAACUACGUGCCAGCAGCCGCGGUAAUACGUAGGUGGCAAGCGUUGUCCGGAAUUACUGGGUGUAAAGGGAGCGUAGGCGGGAUGCCAAGUCAGCUGUGAAAACUAUGGGCUUAACCUGUAGACUGCAGUUGAAACUGGUAUUCUUGAGUGAAGUAGAGGUUGGCGGAAUUCCGAGUGUAGCGGUGAAAUGCGUAGAUAUUCGGAGGAACACCGGUGGCGAAGGCGGCCAACUGGGCUUUAACUGACGCUGAGGCUCGAAAGUGUGGGGAGCAAACAGGAUUAGAUACCCUGGUAGUCCACACUGUAAACGAUGAUAACUAGGUGUGGGGGGUCUGACCCCUUCCGUGCCGCAGCUAACGCAAUAAGUUAUCCACCUGGGGAGUACGGCCGCAAGGUUGAAACUCAAAGGAAUUGACGGGGGCCCGCACAAGCAGUGGAGUAUGUGGUUUAAUUCGACGCAACGCGAAGAACCUUACCAGGGCUUGACAUACAGAUGAAUAUACUAGAGAUAGUAUAGCUCUUCGGAGCAUCUGUACAGGUGGUGCAUGGUUGUCGUCAGCUCGUGUCGUGAGAUGUUAGGUUAAGUCCUGCAACGAGCGCAACCCCUGUGAUUAGUUGCCAACAGGUAAAGCUGGGAACUCUAAUCAGACUGCCGGUGAUAAAUCGGAGGAAGGUGGGGAUGACGUCAAAUCAUCAUGCCCUUUAUGUCCUGGGCUACACACGUACUACAAUGGCUGUAACAGAGAGAAGCAAAACAGUGAUGUUGAGCAAAACUUUAAAAAGCAGUCUCAGUUCGGAUUGAAGGCUGAAAUUCGCCUUCAUGAAGCCGGAAUUGCUAGUAAUGGCAGGUCAGCAUACUGCCGUGAAUACGUUCCC